rnacentral:rRNA from 1 species
UACGGAGGGUGCAAGCGUUAUCCGGAUUCACUGGGUUUAAAGGGUGCGUAGGCGGGCAGGUAAGUCAGUGGUGAAAUCUCCGGGCUUAACCCGGAAACUGCCGUUGAUACUAUCUGUCUUGAAUAUCGUGGAGGUAAGCGGAAUAUGUCAUGUAGCGGUGAAAUGCUUAGAUAUGUCAUAGAACACCCAUUGCGAAGGCAGCUUACUACACGAUCAUUGACGCUGAGGCACGAAAGCGUGGGGAGCAAACAGG